rnacentral:rRNA from 1 species
AGUGAACGCUGGCGGUAGGCCUAACACAUGCAAGUCGAACGGCAGCACAGUAAGAGCUUGCUCUUACGGGUGGCGAGUGGCGGACGGGUGAGGAAUACAUCGGAAUCUACUUUUUCGUGGGGGAUAACGUAGGGAAACUUACGCUAAUACCGCAUACGACCUACGGGUGAAAGCAGGGGAUCUUCGGACCUUGCGCGAUUGAAUGAGCCGAUGUCGGAUUAGCUAGUUGGCGGGGUAAAGGCCCACCAAGGCGACGAUCCGUAGCUGGUCUGAGAGGAUGAUCAGCCCCCCUGGAACUGGGCCACGGUCCAGCCUCCUACGGGAGCCAGCAGUGGGGAAUUUUGGACAAUGGGCGCAAGCCUGAUCCAGCCAUACCGCGUGGGUGAAGAAGGCCUUCGGGUUGUAAAGCCCUUUUGUUGGGAAAGAAAAGCAGCAGGUUAAUACCCCGCUGUUCUGACGGUACCCAAAGAAUAAGCACCGGCUAACUUCGUG